UACGUAGGGUGCAAGCGUUGUCCGGAAUUAUUGGGCGUAAAGAGCUCGUAGGCGGCUUGUCGCGUCGGCUGUGAAAACCUGGGGCUCAACCCCGGGCCUGCAGCCGAUACGGGCAAGCUAGAAUUCGGUAGGGGAGACUGGAAUUCCUGGUGUAGCGGUGAAAUGCGCAGAUAUCAGGAGGAACACCGGUGGCGAAGGCGGGGCGCUGGGCCGAAAUUGACGCUGAGGAGCGAAAGCGUGGGGAGCGAACAGG
rnacentral:rRNA from 1 species